rnacentral:rRNA from 1 species
UUAGGGGGUUUCCGCCCCUUAGUGCUGCAGCUAACGCAUUAAGCACUCCGCCUGGGGAGUACGACCGCAAGGUUGAAACUCAAAGGAAUUGACGGGGGCCCGCACAAGCGGUGGAGCAUGUGGUUUAAUUCGAAGCAACGCGAAGAACCUUACCAGGUCUUGACAUCCUUUGACCACUCUGGAGACAGAGCUUUCCCUUCGGGGACAAAGUGACAGGUGGUGCAUGGUUGUCGUCAGCUCGUGUCGUGAGAUGUUGGGUUAAGUCCCGCAACGAGCGCAACCCUUGAUUUUAGUUGCCAGCAUUUAGUUGGGCACUCUAAAGUGACUGCCGGUGCAAGCCGGAGGAAGGUGGGGAUGACGUCAAAUCAUCAUGCCCCUUAUGACCUGGGCUACACACGUGCUACAAUGGAUAGUACAAAGGGUCGCGAAGCCGCGAGGUGGAGCUAAUCCCAUAAAACUAUUCUCAGUUCGGAUUGUAGGCUGCAACUCGCCUACAUGAAGCCGGAAUCGCUAGUAAUCGUGGAUCAGCAUGCCACGGUGAAUACGUUCCCGGGCCUUGUACACACCGCCCGUC